rnacentral:rRNA from 1 species
GAUGAACGCUGGCGGCGUGCCUAAUACAUGCAAGUCGAGCGAACGGACGAGAAGCUUGCUUUUCUGAUGUUAGCGGCGGACGGGUGAGUAACACGUGGAUAACCUACCUAUAAGACUGGGAUAACUUCGGGAAACCGUAGCUAAUACCGGAUAAUAUUUUGAACCGCAUGGUUCAAAAGUGAAAGACGGUCUUGCUGCCACUUAUAGAUGGAUCCGCGCUGCAUUAGCUAGUUGGUAAGGUAACGGCUUACCAAGGCAACGAUGCAUAGCCGACCUGAGAGGGUGAUCAGCCACACUGGAACUGAGACACGGUCCAGACUCCUACGGGAGGCAGCAGUAGGGAAUCUUCCGCAAAGGGCGAAAGCCUGACGGAGCAACGCCGCGUGAGUGAUGAAGGUCUUCGGAUCGUAAAACUCUGUUAUUAGGGAAGAACAUAUGUGUAAGUAACUGUGCACAUCUUGACGGUACCUAAUCAGAAAGCCACGGCUAACUACGUG